rnacentral:rRNA from 1 species
AACGAACGCUGGCGGCAGGCCUAACACAUGCAAGUCGAACGGUAACGGGCCUUCGGGUGCCGACGAGUGGCGAACGGGUGAGUAACAUAUCGGAACGUACCUUUCAGUGGGGGAUAACGUAGCGAAAGUUACGCUAAUACCGCAUAUUCUGUGCGCAGGAAAGCAGGGGACCUUCGGGCCUUGCGCUGAUUGAGCGGCCGAUAUCAGAUUAGCUAGUUGGUGAGGUAAAGGCUCACCAAGGCGACGAUCUGUAGCGGGUCUGAGAGGAUGAUCCGCCACACUGGAACUGGGACACGGCCCAGACUCCUACGGGAGGCAGCAGUGGGGAAUAUUGGACAAUGGGCGGAAGCCUGAUCCAGCCAUGCCGCGUGUGUGAAGAAGGCCUUUUGGUUGUAAAGCACUUUAAGCGAGGAGGAGGCUACCUGGAUUAAUACUCUAGGAUAGUGGACGUUACUCGCAGAAUAAGCACCGGCUAACUCUGUGCCAGCCGCCGCAGUAACAC